UUCAAAGUGAGCUAAAGGCCAAACUUAUUUUGGCCAGGCAGUUGAGAUGAUUUGUAAUUCAUGUUUCUCCAGUUUUAGGCAGGGUCAAAUACUUAAGGGAGAGAUGGCUGGGAUGUUAACAAGUUCCUAACCUAAGAGGAAAAAGGCAUCUUUAUGGACCGCUGUAAACAUACAUCUGAUUUAACUAGAUUUACCUGUGAACAGAGAAGAGGAGACAGCAGAGACAGCUAAUAAGAGAAGAGGUCACAGGAGAUCACUACAGCCCGAUCUGGCUGCAAGAACCUGUGAAAAGUUCAGAGCUGUUACCAGUGACAAUCCUGUUCAUGGGGGAAUUGCAGUGGAACCAGGAUUUCCACCGCAUACAUGUUUCAGUGCCAUGUUCUUUCAGGUAUUGAACAAAUAUCUCUAACAAAUACUCUUCACACAAGCUCCACUCACAAGACCAGAAUUCUACAUGCAAAUUUCCUACAUGCAUGAAGGUAAAACCUGGGGUGACUGUCUAAAGCCA